GAGAACGCCGGCUGUGCCGUGUACCUGGGACACAUUUAUGUGGCUGGUGGGAAAGACGAGCUCAACCUGGAGCUCUGUGCUGCUGAGAGGUUUAACCCGGACACCAUGAGGUGGACUCCUGUCAAACGCAUGAAGAGCAAGAGAAACAACAUGUCCCUUGUAGUCUUCAAUGGUGUCUUGCUGGCUGUGGGAGGCUCUGAUGGUGUCACCAAUCUGAAAACAAUAGAAGUUUACUGUCAUGAAACCAACACAUGGAGACACUUUGGAAGCAUGAAGAACAACCAUCCAGGAGGAAGAGUGGCUGUGCUGUGCUGAGACCUGUUCACAUUAUACGAACAGGACAGAGGUGUUGGAGAGAAAUAGCCUAAUGGAUGUACACCAGGCUGCAGGACACAUUGUGAUAUGGUUCAUGUAAGACAGCAUAAUGACUGAAUAAUUGAAGAGUUCACUCCAA